UACGUAGGGUGCGAGCGUUGUCCCGGAAUUAUUGGGCGUAAAGAGCUCGUAGGCGGUUUGUCGCGUCGGCCGUGAAAACUUGGGGCUUAACUCCAAGCUUGCGGUCGAUACGGGCAGACUUGAGUUCGGCAGGGGAGACUGGAAUUCCUGGUGUAGCGGUGAAAUGCGCAGAUAUCAGGAAGAACACCUAUGGCGAAGGCAGCACUCUGGGACGGUACUGACGCUGAGACGCGAAAGCGUGGGGAGCGAACAGG
rnacentral:rRNA from 1 species